rnacentral:rRNA from 1 species
GACGAACGCCGGCGGCGUGCUUAACACAUGCAAGUCGAACGAAGAGCGAUGGAAGCUUGCUUCUAUCAAUCUUAGUGGCGAACGGGUGAGUAACGCGUAAUCAACCUGCCCUUCAGAGGGGGACAACAGUUGGAAACGACUGCUAAUACCGCAUACGAUCUAAUCUCGGCAUCGAGGAUAGAUGAAAGGUGGCCUCUACAUGUAAGCUAUCACUGAAGGAGGGGAUUGCGUCUGAUUAGCUAGUUGGAGGGGUAACGGCCCACCAAGGCGAUGAUCAGUAGCCGGUCUGAGAGGAUGAACGGCCACAUUGGGACUGAGACACGGCCCAGACUCCUACGGGAGGCAGCAGUGGGGAAUCUUCCGCAAUGGACGAAAGUCUGACGGAGCAACGCCGCGUGAGCGAUGACGGCCUUCGGGUUGUAAAGCUCUGUUAAUCGGGACGAAAGGCCUUCUUGCGAAUAGUGAGAAGGAUUGACGGUACCGGAAUAGAAAGCCACGGCUAACUACGUG